CAGACAGGGCAAGGGCAACAGGGGUGCAACCCACUGUAAGCCGGGGGAAAGGGGAACGCCAGGCUCCGGCCUGGACCCUGCUAACCGUGGCGCCCUCCUUCUUCCUUCCUGGAGGCAGAACAAAUGCAGGGUGACUAGUGGUCACUGCGACACCAAAGCACUGUCAACUUGAACUUGAGUAUUCCUCACCGGCUCUGCUGUUUACAGCUCUCUGGGUAGGUAUCACAUCACACAGUCUGUCUCCAAUUAUUCACUCUCGUUCUCCUUUCUCUCCACAGGCGGCCACUAGGACACAAAGACACUGUUACUUGGACUUCGAGUGUUUCUCACCGGCUCUGCUGCUUACAGCUCUCUGGGCGGCCACUAGGACACAAAGACACUGUUACUUGGACUUCGAGUAUUUCUCACCGGCUCUGCUGUUUACAGCUCUCUGGGUAGGUAUCACGUUGCACAGUCUGUUCUCCAAUUAUUCACUCUCGUUCUCCUUUCU